rnacentral:rRNA from 1 species
AACGAACGCUGGCGGCAGGCCUAACACACGCAAGUCGAACGAACCCCCCUUCAAGCGAGCUUGAAGGAGUUUUAAAAAGAGUUUUCAAGAAAGCCCAAAGGCUUUCUUGAUGGGGGGUGAGUGGCGCACGGGUGCGUAACGCGUGGGAAUAUACCCCCAGGUAAAGAAUAACUGCUGGAAACGGUAGCUAAUACUUUAUAAUGACUUCGGUCCAAAGAUUUAUCGCCUAGGGACUAGCCCGCGUCUGAUUAGUUAGUUGGUGAGGUAACGGCUCACCAAGACGAUGAUCAGUAGGGGGUCUGAGAGGAUGAUCCCCCACACUGGUACUGAGACACGGACCAG